ACAUGAUUGAGAUUUUUUAAUCUCGUGAUUACCUUUCAAGCACUUCUGAGCCA
rnacentral:snoRNA from 1 species